CAGAACCCUAGAAAUUCUCCCCCCUGUCCCAUCAGCGUCGCCGCCGCACACCACCUGGUCUCCUACCUCGUUUUCCUCCACCUACCGAUCACGCACCAGAUCCAUGCCGAGCCAAACCUGAGCCAAUCCCCUCUUCCCUCCUUGAUCGGUUCCCAGCCAGCCCCGCACCUCGCCUCAGCCUGCUCCUCUUGCAUGCGUUGCUCCCGCUUCCCUCCCGAGCAACCCGAGGAACCGGAGCCGCGGCCUCCCGGCUGUGUUCGAGCCGCAGCGACAAGGUGACCGAGCCUAGCUGCAGGAGCAGCCGAGCCGCCCCAUGGGGCCUCGAUCCAAUAGCUGCAGCACCUACCUCGGCCAGGAGCACCCCCAUGCCCGGAGCUGAUUCUUACCCGCGUCCCGCACCAAGUAGCAGCAGCAACCCCGGUCGCCCUAAGAACCUGCAGGCCAGAGCCCUCUCCUCCUCUCUCGUCUAGUCUCUUUUCCUCUCCUCAAGAUCUUUUCCUCUUUCUGUGUAUAGUGCAGCAGCAGGAGAAAGCCAUGGCGCCCACUCUCGUGUCUGUCGGAGCUGUGCCCGAUGCCUACAGCCUCGGGAACGGGACCCCCUCGUCCGGUUAUGCCCGGCCCGCUGGCGAAGAUCCCCGCCGAAGCCGCCCCUGCAGUCUCUGAUGAGCUGAGCCGCCACAGCCUGCAUCCCGUCCUGGCAACAGAGAUAUCUCUGUUUCGUGAUUCAGUUUCGUCAGACUCGCCCCACGGUAUGGUUCAUCUGGCACAAACCCUGCAAUAUAUCACUCGAACAUGCAUAGGUCAACUGGCUUGUGACAACCGGUUCCAUCCCAGAGAUUUGGGGUUCGAAUCCCAGUAGCGCCAUAUUUAUUUUGCCAGCUUUUUCAUCAGUUUUUUCAUCAAAGUCGCUGUAAGGGUGCUUCACCUAGAGCAAUACUGCUUCUGUUAGCAUAAUUCUUGUGUAGCCAACUGGUUAGUCUGUUGUAUAGUGACCGUGAGGUCGUGGGUUCGAGUCCCCGGUGUGCCCUUUUGUUUUUCUGGUGUGUUAACUUGGUUCGAGUCAUAGCUUCCUUGCCUGAUGGCUCUACUAGUUCAACUUGCCUGAUGGCUCUACUAGUUCAACUUGCCUGAUGGCUCUACUAGUUCAACUAGCAUGGGCUAGCCCAGUGGCUGUGUGUGUGUGCGUGUCUGUAGGAGAGGUGCAGGUUUGAUCCCCCCACGUGCACAUUUUUUUCUUUUAUUUUGAGUGUGUGUGUUGUGCGUUCUAGGCCCACUUGCAUACACCAACUAGGGGCCCUGGUGUGCAUGGCCAGUGGGACCCCCUGACGAUGAUACGUAUAUUGUUUUCUGUAGUAUUUUUGAGGUAUUUCCAAAUCUGGAAUAUUCUAGAUGAGGAAUAUGCAAAAUCUGGCAUAUAAGAACAGCCCCGUGUUCUUGUUAAUAUCGGAGUUUGAUCCUGUGUAGUUUUCCCUUUGCUGUUCGUGGUGUUUUUCUUCAUGCAUUUAUAGCACUGUAAUAUAUGGAUUUGGGGUAGCAGAACCCAAGGAAUCCAAUGAAGACACUAGUUUCCAGUUCUGAGCAGUUCUACAGAAGUGUCACUUUGUGAUGAGGCGGCACUUGUUUACUGAUGCAGGAUGGGUUAAGUGCAUCAAUAGGGGUUGAGAAUCCAUGCAUCAUAUUGGGUAGUGCAUCCUCUUGUGCAUGUCGUGUGGUGAAUAUGUUUGUUGAUGCUUGUUUUCGGUUCCCUUCGUCUCGAUAGAGUUCUGCAAGCGUGUUGGAUUGUGAGGACCCGUUCGACUACAUCGGUUCGUCUGCUUCACCGAGUUGUUCUUCUUCCAAGCGGGAUCUCAGGCAAGAUGACCAUUUCCCCAGAUACCAUUACUAUCAUUGCCAUGCUAGCUUUACCGCCUCUAUCGAUUAUGUCUCGUUGCCUACCACAUGUUAAAUAUCAGCCUCCCAAUCAUGCCAUGAUAACCUUCAACCUGUUCGACCUAGCAAACCACUGAUUGGCUAUGUUACUGUUUGCUUAACCAUGUUGUUAGCGUUGCUAGUUGCAGGUGUAGUUGCUUCCAUGCGAAAGCAUGGGUUCCUUGUUAUAUCACCAUAUUAAUGCUAUUUAACUUAAUGGACCUAUAUACUUGGUAAAAGGUGGAAGGCUCGGCCUUUCUAGCCUGGUGUUUUGUUCCACCUUUCUAGCCCCCUUAGUUUCGGCUACCGGUGUUAUGUUCCAUAAUUGAGCGCUCCUAACACGAUCGGGGUUGUUAUGGGGACCCCCUUGAUAAUUCGUUUUAGAUUAAAGCUGGUCUGGCAAGGCCCAACUUUGGUACUACAUUUGCCUAAUCACCUAAUAAAAUUGCAUAGGGACUUCCCGGGCCCCGAGGAUAAUUUAAUCAACCCCCGGGCCAGUGCUCCUCAUGAGUGUUGGUCCCACCUGAGCAAUGUCCGGCGCCCCUCUGGUCACCCGGAGGUUUAGCGAUCCCGACGUCUAGCUCAUCCGCCGUGUCCUGAGAACGAGGUACGCGACUCCUAUCGGGAUCGUCGACACGUCGGGCGGCCUUGCUGGAUUAGUUUUACCUUUGACGAGAUAUCUUGUGCAUCGGGAUUCCGGUGACGCUUUGGGUAAUCUCAGAGUUGAGGUUUUCCACUAUGGAAUCCGACGAGAUCGCGAGCUUCGUGAUUGAGGAUUUAUAUGCGGCUUGUGGUAAUUUGUGAUGGACUAGUUGGAGCACCCCUGCAGGGUUAAAUCUUUUGGAAAGCCGUGCCCGCGGCUAUGUGGCAACGUGGAAACUUUGUUUAACACUGGUUCUAGAUAACUUGAAGUUAACUUAAUUAAAACAUGCCAACUGUGUGCGUAACCGUGACUGUCUCUUUCGUGAGUUCUUACUCCGAUCGAGGACACGGUGGGGUUAUGUCUGACGUAGAUAGGUGUUCAGGAUCAUUCAUUUGAUCAUCAGUAGUUCACGUCCGUUAUGCGUAGAUCUUCCCCUUCUUAUUUCUUGUACUCAUAAGUUAGCCACCAAAUAUAUGCUUAGCCGCUGCUGCAACCUCACCACUUAACCAUGCCUCACCCAUUAAGCUUUGCUAGUCUUGAUACCUUUGGAAAUGAGAUUGCUGAGUCCCCUAUGGCUCACAGAUUACUACAACACCAGUUGCAGGCACAGGUAAAGGUUACCCGACGCGAGCGCGUUGAUUGUUCAUUUAGAGUUGCUUCUUCUUCUUCUUCUUCAUCGAUCUAGGAUGGGUUCCAGGCCGACAGCCUGGGAUAGCAAGGAUGGACGUCGUUCUUCUUUUGUCGUUUGUUUUCGUCCGUAGUCGGACCCUGCUCUUUCUCUUGAUGAUUAUGUAAUGUACUGUCGUGACUCUGAUGUAGCUUGUGGCGAGUGUAAGCCAACUCUCUAUAUAUAUCUCUUCUUUUCAGUACAUGUACUUGUAACGAUAUCCAUUCUUGCGACACGACGAGAUGCGCUUCUAUCCCUGACGAGGCCCCCGUGCCAAAUUGAGGAUAUGGUCGCAUCUUGGGUAUGACAAGUUGGUAUCAGAGCCGUACCAACCUAGGAGCCCCCUUGAUUGAUCGAACUUGGCCGAGUCGAGUCUAGUGAAAAACUGCUUUGAGUCUAGUUAUAUAUCGGAGAGUAGAGUUCUUUUUUCCCCUCUUCUAUGCUCUGGUGAGGAAUCUUGACGUAAUAUUUUAAUUCUACUCGUCUUCUCACUCAAUUUUUUUUUAGGAUCACGCGGAUAUUCUUGCGAUCUAUAUGAUGCCGAUGUGACGGAGUUCUGUCUUGGUGCCUCCUAUCUGCUUUAAGUUUCAGGGGAGUUGAGCUCCAGGGUAUUCUCGAGCACAUCGUUAUCAUUCAGAUUUCUUAGUAUCUCAGAACGAAGGAUGUUCGUAAUUGCUUCAAUACUAGUAGUGGCGAGAUAACCCCGAUGUCCCUAGUACUGGUGCAGAUUGUUUGGGAGUACUGCCAUACUUUGUAUCAUUGUGAUCAUGAGGGUCUGUUGUAGAUGAAGGUCCGAGAUUCUGGUUGUGUGUUGACGGAUGUGAUACAUGUGAUGGGUUAGUAUAGGAGUUGUGUUAUUAUUACUCCUUGUAUCCGUGUACCGGAUUGCAUGACCAGAUAUUUCGGGAAUUCAUAGGUGGGAAUUCAAGUAGUUGCUUAUAGGACAAUCUUCCAACAAAUUCUUGAUGUUAGGUUGGGGUUCGACAUCUAGUGGAUUCGUUUGUUCACGGUCGACUUACAGCGGUACACGUUGUGUCUUAAAGAGUCCUUGUAGCUUGCUACGACUCGGGGACGCUUUGUAUGUCGGGUGCACUGCCUUGCACUUGAUGGCUACUGUAAGGAUCGAGCCCGUGCGAUCCUGUCCAUGAAAAUAUCGGACGAAAUCUUUCUCAUGAGUUUGUUCUGGCUUGUUUCAUAAGCCUCAUCCUUUGUUUUUUUGAAUAUGGUAAUUCAAGUUGCUUCGAUGUCAACUGGUGAUUUCAGAUCUUUCAUAAGAGGUGUUCUCAUAUUUUUAUGUCAAUGCUAAUUCUUUUGCUCAAUUAGACUGUCAUGUCAAUUCUUGUCAACCGGAGUCAUCGUAUCAAUUCCAUUCAACCGGUGUGCUUCUCUGCAACUGAAUUCAAUCUUAUCUAAUUUUGCAAGAUCAUUCUCUCUUUUAUUCCGGAGUUCAUCUCAUCUAGCCCAAGUUGUCUUUGUUUUUCCCCACCCUCCCGCCCUUUUUCUCAGUGAUUCAAUUUUCAUCGAAGAGUUUUCUUUCAUGUGCUUCCGUUAUCUGUUCUUUUCUCUCUUACCCGGUGAUUCAUUGUGAAGAUUCUUAGGAGCUUCAUGUUCAUCUUUAUUCAUUCUUGUGGUCUUUUCCCGGUGAAUUUAAUUCAGCUAUCCGUGUUCAUUAUAUCCUUUUUCAUCCUUUAAAUUCUUUCCUGUGUUGGAAAUUCUUUUCAGCCCAUCUUGUUAUUCAUUCUUCUCUUUCUAUUCGGUGUGUUGAAGAUAUCUCGGAAGUUUCGUGUUUUCUAUUCUUUAAGUAUUUCGAGGUUCUCAACCUCAUGUAGUUUUCAUUUGUACCGGUGCAUUCAAUCUGUCUUUCAAUCCUUUUAACGGUGGUUUAUUUGAGUGGCCCCAUAACCCACAGGUUUUUCCCAGGAUCUUUCCUGGCUCUUUUAAUCUUUUUCCGGAGAUCAUUAAAUCUUUCAACUAUGACGUAAGUUUGAUUUUUAUCAGUCAUAUCCCUUCUUCGAGAUCUAUUGGAAUUAAUUCUCAUAUUUGGCUCAACCUUGCAUUUCUCUUAUUCCGGAGUGUUUCAGCUAUUUUUGGUGUUGUUCCUCGUCAUCAUUCUCUCCAUUGAAAAUUCGAAGGAGUGUUUUUCUCGAAUCUUGGUCUAUUCUCUUGGAGAUUCGUCAUUUCAGCUUCGUGUUGUCAUCUUGAAUUUAUUUUCAAUCAUGAGUAAUCCCUUUCUUGCGAUCCGGUGCAUUUCUGAGUUGUUUUAUUUCUCGUUCCUCCGAAGGCCAUCAUUUCAGAAGACUUCUUCGUUCUCAGCUUUCAGCUUUCGUUCUCUAAUUCUUCUCAAUUGUUGUCUCUUCGUUCGUCUCUCGAUUAUCCGGUGCCUUGUUCAAGUUUUCUCUCAGGUGGCGCAUGAUCUCUUCAUUCUCAGAUGUUUCCAUGCAUUCUUGGAAUUUCCCAUUCAGUUGUGAAUUCUUACCGGUGCUUCCUUCAAUUAUGCCUCAAGUGGUGCUUAUCUCUCUGCCUCUUCAAGAUUCAUUUCUAGAGGAAUAAGUGUUAUGCUAAAUCCGUUGCUUGUCAUCAUCUAAACUUGAUGAAGGAUAGGCAUAACAUAAUUCUUAUUCUUGUUCUUCCUUCUUCCAAGGGAUUUCAAUUCUUCUUCCGGAGUGGCUCAUGAUAUCAAUUCCUUUUCUCAAGUGCUCUUAUCUUUUCUUUUCCGGAGUUCCAAGUUCUAUCAAGUUUCUCUUCGUGAAGCUUCAUCUAAAUCUUGGCAAGGUCAUAACCUUAUUCUUUUCUACCUUCAUAUCGUUGCAUCGUUCAUUUGUAUACGGAGGUCCUUCAUGGCGGUUCAUCAUGAUAUCAAUUCAUUCUCAAAGUGUUCUUCAAGAUUCUAUUGGAGAACCUCAAGUAUCCUUUGUCUUGCAUUUCUAUGUGCAGUUGUUCUUCCUUUAUCCUUUGCGGUGGUAUUAUAGCAUUCUUGUUAGUGUAGGAGCCUCGAAGAGAUUUCCUUUCAAGAAUGAGAUAAUUAAAUCCACCAAUCCUUUGAUCAUGAGAUUAUUCUUAACCCAUGAUUUCUUCAUUGAGCUAUCUUGGUUUGGAUUUCACCUAAAGCUUUUCCUAUGGAUUUCUUCUAUCAUGGUGCUUGUCAUUAAUCCAAGUUCUCAAUGUAUCCUCUUGGUGUAAGUAAUUGUUCAUAUCUUGUUUCUCCCAAUCAACCCUUGUUUCCGUUAGUGGCUGGUUGUCACUUCAUUAGUUUGAAAGGUUUCCUUAAGCCCACUACUAUCUUGUUCUUUUUGUUGUUAUUUUUUCAACAACUCCGUGCAAUUCUUCUUGCAAGGAUGCUUGCCAAGUUCAUUUGCGAUAAUAGUUGUCAUUCUCUCUUCAUUCUCUUCUUCCGUAUGAGCUAGUUCAUAUUCUCUUGUUCCGGAGGCAUUGUGAUGUUGCUCUUUGGGUCAAUCAUGUUAUCCUAUCAAGUUCAUGGUGUUCCCUUGUUCUAUUUAGUUGUUUGUUAUGUAUAUUGUCUAAUUCUCCUACCUUUUCGAAUUUUUGUCCCAUUUUCCUACCGAAGUGCUGCUGAAUUUUUCCGUGAAUUCUUGCUUAUUUCUCUUAUCAUUCCUCAUCUCUUUGCAACCUUGAAGGAUCGUUGGUUUCACUCGUUUGUCAAAGAAGCGACUAAAUUCUUACCUCAUGUUCUUUCUCAUCCUCUCCCCCUUUCAUUCUUGGAUCUCGGGGCGAGAUCCUCUUGUAGUGUAGGAGAGUUGUGACAGCCCGAUGCUGACGUUCCAGAAGAUUCCCCUUCUAUUCCGUUUUCGUCGUGUGCAUAUUUUCUUCUGUGGCAUCAUCAUCGCAUCAUGCACAUCAUCAACUUUGCAUCGGCAUCUCCGUGCCACCAGUUUUCAAAACUUGCAUCCGUUGUUAGUUGUCGAUUCUCGUCGUUGUUCGUUCCGAGUCCGACCGCACUCGCACGCGCCCGCGGCAUCGUCGAAACCCUGUUUUUAAAAGUGUGGGUAAAACUUUUUCAGCUUGGGGUGAGAUUUGACGUGCGGUGUUAUUUUAAUAUAGCUAGACCGCCUGUCGAAUUUCGUCGCGAUCGAAGUCCGUCUGGUACCCGAACGGUCGACCGUAGCGGCGCCGUAUUCGGUCUAUCGUCGGACGUUUUUUGGUAUUUUAAAAAUAUGUUGCGGGGUGCCCGUUUUCCCUCUCAUCUUCGCCUAGCCCCUCUGCACAGUGCGUCGACCCUACUCGCGGCCAGUCCGAAAACCUCCCGGAACCCGAACCCGGGGUUGUGACCGUUGGAUCCGGAUCAACCCCGUUAUACCGCAAACCGUCAUUGGUUUGUCCAUUGCACUCCCGAUCCUAAUUAUCUCGACCAUCCGAUAUAAAUCGGAGGGUCCAGAUGCCCCUAUACCUAACCCACUAGCUAUAUAUAGAAUACCCUUGCUCAUUUAGACCAGAACCCUAGAAAUUCUCCCCCUGUCCCAUCAGCGCCGCCGCCGCACACCACGUGGUCUCCUACCUCGUUUUCCUCCACCUACCGAUCACGCACCAGAUCCAUGCCGAGCCAAGCCAGAGCCAAUCCCCUCUUCCCUCCUUGAUCGGUUCCCAGCCAGCCCCGCACCUCGCCUCAGCCUGCUCCUCUUGCAUGCGUUGUUCCCGCUUCCCUCCCGAGCAGCCCGAGGAACCGGAGCCGCGGCCUCCCGGCUGUGUUCGAGCCGCAGCAGCAAGGUGACCGAGCCUAGCUGCAGGAGCAGCCGAGCCGCCCCAUGGGGCCUCGAUCCAACAGCUGCAGCACCUACGUCGGCUAGGAGCGCCCCCAUGCCUGGAGCUGAUUCUUACCCGCGUCCCGCACCAAGUAGCAGCAGCAGCAACCCCGGUCGCCCUAAGAACCUGCAGGCCAGAGACCUCUCCUCCUCUCUCAUCUAGUCUCUUUUCCUCUCCUCAAGAUCUUUUCCUCUUUCUGUGUAUAGUGCAGCAGCAGGAGAAACCAUGGCGCCCACUCUCGUGUCUGCUGGAGCUGUGCCCGACGCCUACAGCCUCGGGAACGGGAUCCCCUCGUCCGGUUAUGCCCGGCCCGCUGGUGAAGAUCCCCGUCGAAGCCGCCCCUGCAGUCUCUGAUGAGCUGAGCCGCCACAGCCUGCAUCCCGUCCUGGCAACACAGAUAUCUCUGUUUCGUGAUUCAGUUUCGUCACACUUGCCCCACGGUAUGGUUCAUCUGGCACAAACCCUGCAAUAUAUCACUCAAACAUGCAUAGGUCAAUUGGCUUGUGACAACCGGUUCCAUCCCAGAGAUCUGGGGUUCGAAUCCCAGUAGCGCCAUAUUUAUUUUGCCAGUUUUUUCAUUAAAGUCGUUGUAAGGGUGCUUCACCUAGCGCAAUACUGCUUCUGUGAGCAUAAUUCUUGUGUAGCUAACUGGUAAGUCUGUUGUAUAGCGACCGUGAGGUCCUGGGUUCGAGUCCCCGGUGUGCCCUUUUGUUUUUCUGGUGUGUUAACUUGGUUCGAGUCAUAGCUUCCUAGCCCGAUGGUUCUACUAGUUCAACUAGCAUGGGCUAGCCCAGUGGCUGUGUGUGUGUGCGUGUCUCUAGGAGAGGUGCAGGUUUGAUCCCCCCACAUGCACAUUUUUUUCUUUUAUUUUGAGUGUGUGUGUUGUGCGUUCUAGGCCCACUUGCAUACACCAACUAGGGGCCCUGGUGUGCAUGGCCAGUGGGACCCCGUGACGAUGAUACGUAUAUUGUUUUCUGUAGUAUUUUUGAGGUAUUUCCAAAUCUGGAAUAUUCUAGAAGAAGAAUAUGCAAAAUCUGGCAUAUAAGAACAACCCCCUGUUCUUGUUAAUAUCGGAGUUUGAUCCUGUGUAGUUUUCCCUUUGUUGUUUGUGGUGUUUUUCUUCAUGCAUUUAUAGCACUGUAAUAUAUGGAUUUGGGGUAGGAGAACCCAAGGAAUCCAAUGAAGACACUAGUUUCCAGUUCUGAGCAGUUCUGCAGAAGUGUCACUUUGUGAUGAGGUGGCACUUGUUUACCGAUGCAGGAUGGGUUAAGUGCAUCAAUAGGAUUUGAGCAUCCAUGCAUCAUAUUGGGUAGUGCAUCCUCUUGUGCAUGUCGUGUGGUGAAUAUGUUUGUUGAUGCUUGUUUUCGGUUCCCUUCGUCUCGAUAGAGUUCCGCAAGCGUGUCGGAUUGUGAGGACCCGUUCGACUACAUCGGUUCGUGUGCUUCACGAGUUGUUCUUCUUCCAAGCGGGAUCUCAGGCAAGAUGACCAUUUCCCUAGAUACCAUUACUAUCAUUGCCAUGCUAGCUUUACCGCCUCUAUCGAUUAUGUCUCGUUGCCUACCACAUGUUAAAUAUCAGCCUCUCAAUCAUGACAUGAUAACCUUCAACCUGUUCGACCUAGCAAACCACUGAUUCGCUAUGUUACCGCUUGCUUAACCAUGUUGUUAGCGUUGCUAGUUGCAGGUGUAGUUGCUUCCAUGCGAAAGCAUGGGUUCCUUGUUAUAUCACCAUAUUAAUGCUAUUUAACUUAAUGGACCUAUAUACUUGGUAAAAGGUGGAAGGCUCGGCCUUUCUAGCCUGGUGUUUUGUUCCACCUUUGCCCCCUUAGUUUCGACUACCGGUGUUAUGUUCCAUAAUUGAGCGCUCCUAACACGAUCGGGGUUGUUAUGGGGACCCCCUUGCUAAUUCGUUUUAGAUUAAAGCUGGUCUGGCAAGGCCCAACUUUGGUACUACAUUUGCCUAAUCACCUAAUAAAAUUGCAUAGGGACUUCCCGGGCCCCGAUGAUAAUUUAAUCAACCCCUGGGCCAGUGCUCCUCAUGAGUGUUGGUCCCACCUGAGCGAUGUCCGGCGCCCCUCUGGUCACCCGGAGGUUUAGCGAUCCCGACGUCUAGCUCAUCCGCCGUGUCCUGAGAACGAGGUACGCGACUCCUAUCGGGAUCGUCAACACGUCGGGCGGCCUUGCUGGAUUAGUUUUACCUUUGACGAGAUAUCUUGUGCAUCGGGAUUCCGGUGACGCUUUGGGUAAUCUCAGAGUUGAGGUUUUCCACUAUGGAAUCUGACGAGAUCGCGAGCUUCGUGAUUGAGGAUUUAUAUGCGGCUUGUGGUAAUUUGUGAUGGACUAGUUGGAGCACCCCUGCAGGGUUAAAUCUUUUGGAAAGCCGUGCCCGCGGCUAUGUGGCAACGUGGAAACUUUGUUUAACACUGGUUCUAGAUAACUUGAAGUUAACUUAAUUAAAACAUGCCAACUGUGUGCGUAACCGUGACUGUCUCUUUCGUGAGUUCUUACUCCGAUCGAGGACACGGUGGGGUNGACGAGAUCGCGAGCUUCUUGAUUGAGGAUUUCUAUGCGGCUUGUGGUAAUUUGUGAUGGACUAGUUGGAGCACCCGUGCAGGGUUAAAUCUUUCGGAAAGCCGUGCCCGCGGCUAUGUGGCAACGUGGAAACUUUGUUUAACACUGGUUCUAGAUAACUUGAAGUUAACUUAAUUAAAACAUGCCAACUGUGUGCGUAACCGUGACUGUCUCUUUCGUGAGUUCUUACUCCGAUCGAGGACACGGUGGGGUUAUGUCUGACGUAGAUAGGUGUUCAGGAUCAUUCAUUUGAUCAUCAGUAGUUCACGUCCGUUAUGCGUAGAUCUUCCCCUUCUUAUUUCUUGUACUCAUAAGUUAGCCACCAAAUAUAUGCUUAGCCGCUGCUGCAACCUCACCACUUAACCAUGCCUCACCCAUUAANNNNNNNNNNNNNNNNNNNNNNNNNNNNNNNNNNNNNNNNNNNNNNNNNNNNNNNNNNNNNNNNNNNNNNNNNNNNNNNNNNNNNNNNNNNNNNNNNNNNCAUGGAGACAGCGGCUCUCCUCUGCGCGAGGGAGAAGGGAGCAGCAUGAGGGAUGGGAGGUGUGAAGCUAUGGUUUGGCGUCGGUGUCCAUGGGGGGUCUAGGACAGCCUUAUCGCCAACGAUAAGCCAGCAGAUGGCCGCCACGGCAUCGGCCACGGCCGCUCGCGCUCAUCACCGCGCCCACGUCUUGUGUGGUGAAUAGAGGGGGACAAUGAGGUCAAGGUGGGCCGAGCCAGCCACUCGACUGGCAGGCCUGAGUGCACAUUGCACNNNNNNNNNNNNNNNNNNNNNNNNNNNNNNNNNNNNNNNNNNNNNNNNNNNNNNNNNNNNNNNNNNNNNNNNNNNNNNNNNNNNNNNNNNNNNNNNNNNNNNNNNNNNNNNNNNNNNNNNNNNNNNNNNNNNNNNNNNNNNNNNNNNNNNNNNNNNNNNNNNNNNNNNNNNNNNNNNNNNNNNNNNNNNNNNNNNNNNNNNNNNNNNNNNNNNNNNNNNNNNNNNNNNNNNNNNNNNNNNNNNNNNNNNNNNNNNNNNNNNNNNNNNNNNNNNNNNNNNNNNNNNNNNNNNNNNNNNNNNNNNNNNNNNNNNNNNNNNNNNNNNNNNNNNNNNNNNNNNNNNNNNNNNNNNNNNNNNNNNNNNNNNNNNNNNNNNNNNNNNNNNNNNNNNNNNNNNNNNNNNNNNNNNNNNNNNNNNNNNNNNNNNNNNNNNNNNNNNNNNNNNNNNNNNNNNNNNNNNNNNNNNNNNNNNNNNNNNNNNNNNNNNNNNNNNNNNNNNNNNNNNNNNNNNNNNNNNNNNNNNNNNNNNNNNNNNNNNNNNNNNNNNNNNNNNNNNNNNNNNNNNNNNNNNNNNNNNNNNNNNNNNNNNNNNNNNNNNNNNNNNNNNNNNNNNNNNNNNNNNNNNNNNNNNNNNNNNNNNNNNNNNNNNNNNNNNNNNNNNNNNNNNNNNNNNNNNNNNNNNNNNNNNNNNNNNNNNNNNNNNNNNNNNNNNNNNNNNNNNNNNNNNNNNNNNNNNNNNNNNNNNNNNNNNNNNNNNNNNNNNNNNNNNNNNNNNNNNNNNNNNNNNNNNNNNNNNNNNNNNNNNNNNNNNNNNNNNNNNNNNNNNNNNNNNNNNNNNNNNNNNNNNNNNNNNNNNNNNNNNNNNNNNNNNNNNNNNNNNNNNNNNNNNNNNNNNNNNNNNNNNNNNNNNNNNNNNNNNNNNNNNNNNNNNNNNNNNNNNNNNNNNNNNNNNNNNNNNNNNNNNNNNNNNNNNNNNNNNNNNNNNNNNNNNNNNNNNNNNNNNNNNNNNNNNNNNNNNNNNNNNNNNNNNNNNNNNNNNNNNNNNNNNNNNNNNNNNNNNNNNNNNNNNNNNNNNNNNNNNNNNNNNAUCAAUUUGCAAAGGAUAAGGAUAAUGAGGAAAGAAUAUGUUUUCCUAUAUGAGCUAAUUAAGUGGUGUGCAAUUAAAUGCAUUGUUACAUAAUUAAAGGAGGUCGCAUGUUAUGCAUAUAUGAGACGGAAAACAAUGUUUCCCAUUACAAUACACGAGCAUUUAUCCACGUUGUUGCAUACUCCUAUAUAAGAUGGAAAGCAAUGUCUCCCAUUACAAUGCAUUAACAUUUGUGCUAGUACCUCACAAAGUCACGAGCUAAAGGAGAUCAAUGCCAUAACAAAGGCACCUAAGAGAAUUUCUGAAAUCUCCAAGGGCCCAUGUAGGUGGUGGCAUGACAAGGUGGUGGUGGGAAGUUUAGUCCCACCCCGUUAGUGGAGAAGAAGUUGGACCCCUUUAUAAGGGUCUCUCUUCUACAUGCUAUUGGAGAGUGAGAAGAGAAGGAGCCCUCGCGCACUCCUCCUCCGCCGCCCGCCUUGCCACACCUCGUCACGACGCGCCGCGCCGCGCUGCGGGUUGCGGAAAUGAGCCGAGCCGAGUGAUACGUCUUCGUCGUAUCUACUUUUCCAAACUCUUUUGCCCUUGUUUUGGACUCUAAUUUGCAUGAUUUGAAUGGAACUAACCCGGACUAACGUUGUUUUCAGCAGAAUUGUCAUGGUGUUGUUUUUGCGCAGAAAUAAAAGUUCUUGGAAUGACCUGGAAAUUUACGUGGAUUUUUUGUGGAAUAUAUAAAAAAUACUCGCGCAANNNNNNNNNNNNNNNNNNNNNNNNNNNNNNNNNNNNNNNNNNNNNNNNNNNNNNNNNNNNNNNNNNNNNNNNNNNNNNNNNNNNNNNNNNNNNNNNNNNNGGAGAUACCUGUAGAGCAUCUUUAUAGUCACCCAGUUACGUUGCGACGUUUGAUACACACAAAGUAUUCCUCCGGUGUUAGUGAGUUAUAUGAUCUCAUGGUCAUAGGAACAAAUACUUGACACGCAGAAAACAGUAGCAACAAAAUGACACGAUCAACAUGCUACGUCUAUUAGUUUGGGUCUAGUCCAUCACGUGAUUCUCCUAAUGACGUGAUCCAGUUAUCAAGCAACAACACCUUGUUCAUAAUCAGAAGACACUGACUAUCAUCGAUCAACUGGCUAGCCAACUAGAGGCUUGCUAGGGACGGUGUUUUGUCUAUGUAUCCACACAUGUAAAUGAGUCUUCAUUCAAUACAAUUAUAGCAUGGAUAAUAAACGAUUAUAUUGAUACAGGAAUUAUAAUAAUAACUAUAUUUAUUAUUGCCUCUAGGGCAUAAUUCCAACAGUCUCCCACUUGCACUAGAGUCAAUAAUCUAGUCCUCACAUCAUCAUGCGAAUUACAUUGUAAUAAAUCUAACACCCAUACAGUUUUGGUGUUGAUCAUGCUUUGCCCAUGGAAGAGGUUUAGUCAGCGGGUCUGCUACAUUCAGAUCCGUGUGCACUUUGCAUAUAUUUACGUCCUCUCCUUCGACGUAGUCGCGGAUGAGGUUGAAGCGUCGUUUGAUAUGUCUGGACUUCUUGUGAAACCGUGGUUCCUUUGCUAAGGCAAUGGCACCCGUGUUGUCACAGAACAAGGUUAUUGGAUUCAGUGCGCUUGGCACCACUCCAAGACCCGUCAUGAAUUGCUUCAUCCAGACACCCUCCUUAGCCGCCUCCGAGGCAGCCAUGUACUCCGCUUCACAUGUAGAAUCUGCUACGACGCUUUGCUUGGAACUGCACCAGCUUACCGCACCCCCAUUAAGAAUAAAUACGUAUCCGGUUUGCGACUUAGAGUCGUCCGGAUCUGUGUCAAAGCUUGCAUCGACGUAACCUUUUACGGCGAGCUCUUCGUCACCUCCAUACACGAGAAACAUCUCCUUAGUCCUUUUCAGGUACUUCAGGAUAUUCUUGACCGCCGUCCAGUGAUCCACCCCUGGAUUACUCUGGAACCUACCUGCCAUACUUAUGGCCAGGCUAACAUCCGGUCUAGUGCACAGCAUUGCAUACAUGAUAGAACCUAUGGCUGAAGCAUAGGGGACGGUGCGCAUAUGCUCUCUAUCCUCAUCAGUUGCUGGGCACUGAGUCUUACUCAAUCUCGUACCUUGUAAAACUGGCAAGAACCCUUUCUUGGACUGUUCCAUUUUGAACCUCUUCAAAACUUUAUCAAGGUAUGUGCUUUGUGAAAGUCCUAUCAGGCGUUUUGAUCUAUCCCUAUAGAUCUUAAUGCCUAGAAUGUAAGCAGCUUCUCCUAGGUCCUUCAUAGAGAAACUUUUAUUCAAGUAACCUUUUAUGCUCUCCAAAAGCUCUACGUUGUUUCCAAUCAGUAAUAUGUCAUCCACAUAUAAUAUUAGAAACGCCACAGAGCUCCCACUCACUUUCUUGUAAAUACAAGAUUCUCCAACCACUUGUAUAAACCCAAAUGCUUUGAUCACCUCAUCAAAGCGUUUGUUCCAACUCCGAGAUGCUUGCACCAGUCCAUAAAUGGAUCGCUGGAGCUUGCACACCUUGUUAGCAUUCUUAGGAUCGACAAAACCUUCGGGUUGCAUCAUAUACAACUCUUCCUUAAGGAAACCGUUAAGGAACGCCGUUUUGACAUCCAUCUGCCAGAUUUCAUAAUCGAAAAAUGCAGCUAUUUCUAACAUGAUUCUGACGGACUUAAGCAUCGCUACGGGUGAGAAUGUCUCAUCGUAGUCAACUCCUUGAACUUGUGAAAAACCCUUUACCACAAGUCGAGCUUUAUAAACGGUCACAUUGCCGUCAGCGUCCGUCUUCCUCUUAAAAAUCCAUUUGUUCUGAAUAGCCUUGCGGCCCUCAGGUAGUACUUCCAAAGUCCACACUUUGUUCUCAUACAUGGAUCCUAUCUCGGACUUCAUGGCUUCUAGCCAUUUGUUGGAAUCUGGGCCCACCAUCGCUUCUUCAUAAUUUGCAGGUUCAUUGUUGUCUAACAACAUGAUUGACAAGACGGGAUUACCGUACCACUCUGGAGCAGCACGUGGUCUCGUCGACCUACGUGGUUCGACAGAAACUUGAACCGGAGUUUCAUGAUCAUCAUCAUUAACUUCCUCCUCAACCGGCGUCGCAACGAUAGAGGUUUCCCCUUGCCCUGCGCCACCAUCCAGAGGGAUGAGAGGUUCGACAACCUCGUCAAGUUCUAUCUUCCUCCCACUCAAUUCUCUCGAGAGAAACUCCUUCUCGAGAAAAGCUCCGUUUUUAGCAACAAACACUUUGCCCUCGGAUUUGAGAUAGAAGGUGUACCCAACUGUCUCUUUUGGGUACGCUAUGAAGAUGCACUUUUCCGCUUUGGGUUCCAGCUUUUCAGGCUGAAGCUUUUUGACAUAAGCAUCACAUCCCCAAACUUUAAGAAAAGACAACUUUGGCCUUUUGCCAUACCACAUUUCGUAUGGUGUCGUCUCAACGGAUUUUGAUGGUGCCCUAUUUAAAGUGAAUGCAACUGUUUCUAAUGCAUAACCCCAAAACGAUAACAGAAAAUCGGUAAGAGACAUCAUAGAUCGCACCAUCUCUAAUAAAGUAUGAUUACGACGUUCGGACACACCAUUACGCUGUGGUGUUCCAGGCGGUGUCAACUGUGAAACAAUUCCACAUUGUCUUAAGUGAGCACCAAACUUGAAACUCAGAUAUUCACCCCCACGAUGAGACCGUAGGAACUUGAUCUUCUUGUUACGAUGAUUUUCAACUUCACUCUGAAAUUGCUUGAACUUUUCAAAUGUUUCAGACUUGUACUUCAUUAAGUAGACAUAACCAUAUCUACUCAAAUCGUCAGUGAAGGUGAGAAAAUAACGAUAUCCGCAGCGUGCCUCUACGCUCAUCGGACCACACACAUCGGUAUGUAUGAUUUCCAACAAGUCACUUGCACGCUCCAUUGUUCCGGAGAAGGGAAUUUUAGUCAUCUUGCCCAUGAGGCAUGGUUCGCACGUGUCAAGUGAAUCAAAGUCAAGUGACUCCAAAAGUCCAUCGGUAUGGAGUUUCUUCAUGCGCUUUACACCAAUAUGACCUAAGCGGCAGUGCCACAAAAAUAUGGCGCUAUCAUUGUUAACUCUAACUCUUUUGGUCUCAAUGUUAUGUAUGUGUGUAUCGCUAUCAAGAUUCAAUAUGAACAAUCCUGUCACAUUGGGUGCAUGACCAUAAAAGAUGUUACUCAUAGAAAUAGAACAACCAUUAUUCUCUGACUUAAAAGAGUAACCGUCUCGCAAUAAACAAGAUCCAGAUAUAAUGUUCAUGCUCAACGCAGGCACUAAAUAACAAUGAUUCAAGUUCAUAACUAAUCCUGAUGGUAACUGAAGUGAAACUAUGCCGACGGCGAUUGCAUCAACCUUGGAACCAUUUCCUACGCACAUCGUCACUUCAUCUUUCGCCAGCCUUCGUCUAUUCCGCAGUUCCUGUUUUGAGUUGCAAAUAUGAGCAACAGAACUGGUAUCGAAUACCCAGGCACUACUACGAGAGCCGGUUAAGUACACAUCAAUAACAUGUAUAUCGAAUAUACCUGAUUUUUCUUUGGCCGCCUUCUUAUCUGCCAGAUACUUGGGGCAAUUGCGCUUCCAGUGACCCAUACCCUUGCAAUAGUAACACUCUGUUUCAGGCUUAGGUCCAGCUUUGGGUUUCUUCAUUGGAUUGGCAACAGGCUUGCCGCUCUUCUCUGAUUUACCCUUCUUGCCUUUGCCGUUUCUCUUGAAACUAGUGGUCUUAUUCACCAUCAACACUUGAUGUUCUUUACGGAGUUCAGACUCUGCGACUCUCAGCAUCGCAAACAACUCGCCGGGUGACUUGUUCAUCCCUUGCAUGUUGUAGUUCAACACAAAGCCUUUAUAGCUUGGCGGCAGUGAUUGAAGGAUUCUGUCAGUGAUAGCCUCUUGCGGGAGUUCAAUCCCCAGCUCAGCUAGACGGUUUGAGUACCCAUACAUUUUGAGCACAUGUUCACUGACAGACGAGUUCUCCUCCAUCUUGCAAGCAUAGAAUUUAUCGGAGGACUCAUACCUCUCGAUCCGGGCAUUCUUCUGAAAGAUAAAAUUCAACUCCUGGAACAUCUCAAAUGCUCCAUGACGCUCAAAGGGACGUUGAAGUCCCGGUUCUAAGCCAUACAAGACUGCACAUUGAACUACUGAGUAGUCCUCCUUACGUGCUAACCAAGCGUUCUUAACAUCCUGAUCAGCCGUAGCAGGUGGUUCAUCUCCUAGCGCAGCAUUAAGGACAUAAUCCUUCUUCCCAGCUUGUAAGAUUAGCUUAAGAUUACGAGCCCAGUCUACAAAGUUGCUUCCAUCAUCUUUCAACUUAGCUUUCUCUAGGAACGUAUUAAAAUUCAGGGUGACUGUCGCGUGAGCCAUGAUCUACAACACAAAUAUAUUCAAAGUGGACUUAGACUAUGUUCAAGAUAAUUAGAGUUUAACUUAAUCAAAUUAUUUGCUAAACUCCCACUCAAAAAGUACAUCUCUCUAGUCAUUUGAGUGGUUCAUGAUCCACUUGCACUAGCUCAAGUCCGAUCAUCACGUGAGUUGAGUAUAGUUUCAGUGGUAAGCAUCCCUAUGCUAAUCAUAUCAUCUAUAUGAUUCAUGAUCGAACUUUCGGUCUCAUGUGUUCCGAGGCCAUGUCUGCACAUGCGAGGCUCGUCAAGCUUAACUCGAGUGUUCCGCGUGCGCAACUGUUUUGCACCCGUUGUAUGUGAACGUUGAGUCUAUCACACCCGAUCAUCACGUGGUGUCUCGAAACGACGAACUGUAGCAACGGUGCACAGUCGGGGAGAACACAAUUUCGUCUUGAAAUUUUAGUGAGAGAUCACCUCAUAAUGCUACCGUCGUUCUAAGCAAAAUAAGGUGCAUAAAAGGAUUAACAUCACAUGCAAUUCAUAAGUGACAUGAUAUGGCCAUCAUCGUGUGCUCCUUGAUCUCCAUCAUCAAAGCACCGACACGAUCUUCUUGUCACCGGCGCCACACCAUGAUCUCCAUCAAUGUGUCGCCAUAGGGGUUGUCGUGCUACUCAUGCUAUUACUACUAAAGCUACAUCCUUGCAAAAUAGUAAACACAUGUGCAAGCACAAACAUUAGUAUAAAGACAACCCUAUGGCUCCUGCCGGUUGCCGUACCAUCGACUUGCAAGUCGAUAUUAUCUAUUACAACAUGAUCAUCUCAUACAUCCAAUAUAUCACAUCACAUCGUUGGCCAUAUCACAUCACAAGCAUACCCUGCAAAAACAAGUUAGACGUCCUCUAAUUUUGUUGUUGCAUGUUUUUACGUGGUGACUAUGGGUAUCUAGUAGGAUCGCAUCUUACUUACGCAAACACCACAACGGAGAUAUAUGAGUUGCUAUUUAACCUCAUCCAAGGACCUCCUCGGUCAAAUCCGAUUCAACUAAAGUUGGAGAAACCGUCACUUGCCAGUCAUCUUUGAGCAAAGGGGGUUACUCGUAACGAUGAAACCAGUCUCUCGUAAGCGUACGAGUAAUGUCGGUCCAAGCCGCUUCAAUCCAACAAUACCGCGGAAUCAAGAAAAGACUAAGGAGGGCAGCAAAACGCACAUCACCGCCCACAAAACCUUUUGUGUUCUACUCGAGAAGACAUCUACGCAUGAACCUAGCUCAUGAUGCCACUGUUGGGGAACGUCGCAUGGGAAACAAAAAUUUUCCUACGCGCACGAAGACCUAUCAUGGUGAUGUCCAUCUACGAGAGGGGAUGAGUGAUCUACGUACCCUUGUAGAUCGUACAGCAGAAGCGUUUAGAGAACGCGGUUGAUGUAGUGGAACGUCCUCACGUCCCUCGAUCCGCCCCGCGAUCAGUCCCACGAUCUAGUACCGAACGGACGGCACCUCCGCGUUCAGCACACGUACAGCUCGACGAUGAUCUCGGCCUUCUUGAUCCAGCAAGAGAGACGGAGAGGUAGAAGAGUUCUCCGGCAGCGUGACGGCGCUCCGGAGGUUGGUGAUGAUCUUGUCUCAGCAGGGCUCCGCCCGAGCUCCGCAGAAACGCGAUCUAGAGGAAAAACUAUGGAGGUAUGUGGUCGGGCAGCCGUGAGAAAGUCGUCUCAAAUCUGCCCUAAAAGCCCCAUAUAUAUAGGAGGAGGGAGGGGGACCUUGCCUUGGGGUCCAAGGGAACCCCAAGGGGUCGGCCGAGCCAGGGGGGAGGACUCUCCCCCCCCAAACCGAGUCCUACUUGGUUUGGUGGGAGGGAGUCCUUCCCCCUUCCCACUUCUUCCUCUUUUUUUUUCUUCCUUUGAUUUUUCUUCCUUGGCGCAUAGGAUUUGGUGGGCUGUCCCACCAGCCCACUAAGGGCUGGUGUGACCCCCACAAAUACCUAUGGGCUUCCCCGGAGUGGGUUGCCCCCCUCCGGUGAACCCCCGGAACCCAUUCGUCAUUCCCGGUACAUUCCCGGUAACUCCGAAAACCUUCCGGUAAUCAAAUGAGGUCAUCCUAUAUAUCAAUCUUCGUUUCCGGACCAUUCCGGAAACCCUCGUGACGUCCGUGAUCUCAUCCGGGACUCCGAACAACAUUCGGUAACCAACCAUAUAACUCAAAUACGCAUAAAACAACGUCGAACCUUAAGUGUGCAGACCCUGCGGGUUCGAGAACUAUGUAGACAUGACCCGAGAGACUCCUCGGUCAAUAUCCAAUAGCGGGACCUGGAUGCCCAUAUUGGAUCCUACAUAUUCUACGAAGAUCUUAUCGUUUGAACCUCAGUGCCAAGGAUUCGUAUAAUCCCGUAUGUCAUUCCCUUUGUCCUUCGGUAUGUUACUUGCCCGAGAUUCGAUCGUCAGUAUCCGCAUACCUAUUUCAAUCUCGUUUACCGGCAAGUCUCUUUACUCGUUCCGUAAUACAAGAUCCCGCAACUUACACUAAGUUACAUUGCUUGCAAGGCUUGUGUGUGAUGUUGUAUUACCGAGUGGGCCCCGAGAUACCUCUCCGUCACACGGAGUGACAAAUCCCAGUCUUGAUCCAUACUAACUCAACUAACACCUUCGGAGAUACCUGUAGAGCAUCUUUAUAGUCACCCAGUUACGUUGCGACGUUUGAUACACACAAAGUAUUACUCCGGUGUUAGUGAGUUAUAUGAUCUCAUGGUCAUAGGAACAAAUACUUGACACGUAGAAAACGGUAGCAACAAAAUGACACGAUCAACAUGCUACAUCUAUUAGUUUGGGUCUAGUCCAUCACGUGAUUCUCCUAAUGACAUGAUCCAGUUAUCAAGCAACAACACCUUGUUCAUAAUCAGAAGACACUGACUAUCUUUGAUCAACUGGCUAGCCAACUAGAGGCUUGCUAGGGACAGUGUUUUGUCUAUGUAUCCACACAUGUAAAUGAGUCUUCAUUCCAUACAAUUAUAGCAUGGAUAAUAAACGAUUAUAUUGAUACAGGAAUUAUAAUAAUAACUAUAUUUAUUAUUGCCUCUAGGGCAUAAUUCCAACACUUCCAUGAUAAUUAUGACCUUUAAAGGUAUCUACAUAGUUACCAAAUUCACGUGAACUUUCAGAGCUAGAAUUGAUUGUACUUAGUAGUAUGUAUCAAAACUCCACAACAACAUUACAUUAACCAAUAUGUGAGCACAUCCUUCUGGUUUGGGUCAGAGCGUCACCUUACUUCUCGACCCUCAUUCUUUCUUGUUCCCCACUCGAGGUCUCAUUUCGCUGCUCGUCGUCGUCCCCGAAUGCGUGAUCUAGUUGGUAGAAUCCCCGCCAAUAUCCUCCCUGAUGCUAGCGCCACCGUCCGCGAGAUGCUUGCCCCACUGUCCGCGAGAUGCUUGCCCACCGUUCGCCAUCAAACUUUGUGGGCAACAGUCCCCUGACAACGGCCGUUGCUCUGCCAUAUCCACACCCCAUCGACCGGAGCAUAGUCGGUGGCAGUGGGAGUCCCGUCGCCAAUGCCUCCUUCUCGGUGCCCCUUGUAGCCUUGCUGAGCCAGAUAUGCCACCCCAUUGAUUGGAGUAGUGUGGAUGGGAGGCCCAGGCCAGGAGGUGCCAACUUGGUAGUCUCCCUUCCCUUCCGAAAAGCAUCACCAACCGCCGCCCAAGGUCAACCACCUCCGUUGAAUUUUUUUCUUGCAAGGUCUUGUGAUUUUCUCAUGGAUAGUGUUAGUAACAAAAGGAAAUGAUGUAACCGUCUCUCUCUUUCAUUGAUAGUUAUGCUUAUAUACAAGUUGGGGGGACACGAUCAAAGGACGCAUCCUUUCCAGAAAGAUGCGACAGUUAGCACUAGUGCUAACCGCCUCACAGAUAACAAGGAGAGAUUUACCCCAUAAUUAACACAGUUAAUUAAUUCUAACACCCCCCUAAUCUACACUUAUUCAUAUAGCAUCAUCAUCUUGAAGAGCUCCCCAAAAACCCUGUGGGAAAAAAUGUGAGGAGAUAUGUGUAUGAUACGUUGCCAAAACUCCUUCAAAACCCAGUGGAAAAAUAAGAAGAAAAUGAUGCAACAUAUAAUCAUUAUUGCCUCUUUUAACUCAAUAUGAGAAAACUCAUAGAACUAAGAGGACAAUAAAUAUGUCAUAUAUACUUUCCUAAAAAACCCGGUGGGGGAAACUGAAAGUAUGACAUAUGACCUCAUGUUGAUAUUACCUCAUUAAAAACCUUUAUGGGAACCUGUAUAAUAAACUCAUGAAGGGAAAAAGAGUACAAUAUGAUGCAUUGAACUUGAACAAUUGAGGAAGAUACUCCCCCCGAUUCUUGCAAAUUUCGAAGCUGUCAUAUACCAAUUCCGUGAACAUGGUUCUGGAAUGUAAAAGUUGUUAGAGACUUCGCGAGCAAAUCAGUCACAUGAUUUGAUUUGCAAGAUAUGCAAUAUAGUGAUAUUGCUUAUUGUGUAACAUGUUGGCAUCCGGGCAACACAGGAAACAUUAUCGUUGAGAUAAUAGUUGGUGGAUGUAGCCAUGAGGUCUAUUUCAAAGACUCUUCAUGAGAGGGCUACCACACCUAGUAGGAACACUAAGCUUGUCUACGAUCCGACAUAGUUGGGAUCUGAUCAAUGUAUCCAAUGAUAUCGGUGUUCACAUUUGUGUGAAACUGAAAAACGAGGACAAGAUGUUUAAUGCCUUGGCGAUAUCGAAAGAUAUUCUUGAGUACCAAUCAAUUGUGUUUGGUGGAUCCAAUGACAUUAUGGAACGUUGAGUCCCAAUAUCUCAUUUCCAUCAUCUCUUGGUCUAUAUAGAUCUUUCUCUACGUCUAGAGAAUGAACUACCAUGAGAGUUAUGGAUGGAUAAGAUUUGUCCAUAAUGAAUUUCUCCAUUAUAUUUUGGAUAUAGACAACAUAGUAUACCAUAAUGUAUGAAUGAAGGUGCUCAAGUUGUAGUAAUGAGCGGUAUUUUGGUUUACCAAAAUCCUUCAUUUUAAACUCCGUCAUUUAGAUGAUUACAUGCGUCGUCAUUGCAGACCCACAAACAUGGAUACUCAUCAUUGUAGGAGUAAUCCUUGUGUACAAGGAACUCACUACGUCGGUUGUACCAUAUGUACCGACAACAAUAAGUCAUAUGGUGACUUACUAAAUUUUACACAAUGUAUGUUGCAUUUUGCAUUUCGAUUCAGAAGUGAGAUUCCAUUGAGAAUCAAUCAUAUAUGUCUGAAUCUAGUGAUCCACAUGGAUAUGUGAUUACUACAUCUAUCAGCUGUAGAGAUAGAUGAUUUUAUACUGCCAAUGAUAUAAAUUAUCAGAAAGAGAUUCCACCUCUGGAGAAUAGUUGGGUAUCUGCGUGAACCCUUGUGCUACAAUACUUGCUCUAUGUUUCAUCACUUUGUUGUUCUCAAUUCUGUUUCCAGAAGAAAACUAGUGUAGGUAUUGCUUACGAAUACCUUUCUAUUAUUGAGCAAGAAUAUUUCUACCUAGAUUGUACCCUUUGCUUGAGUUCAGUCCGAGUGUUGUUCACACUUUGCCAUGGCCAUGGUCUUUGGAUCUGAAUCAUUUGAAAGGUUUUUCAAUCUAAUUGAGAAAUGUAUGUCGACAAUUGUAGACUUCCGGUUAUAUGAUUCUCCAGAAUCUAUAUAUCAAUAUAUAGUUGAUGGAAAUAUCGUUACCCAUGGUGACUGCUCGCGAUUUCCCAAUGUGAUUGAGUCGGGUAUUCUGAUGUCCCGGUCAAUGUGUGCACUAUGACCUGGGUUGGUGGAGGCUUCCCAUCCACUGGGUGUAUACUACCCAUUAGGCGUCUGUCAACGUGAAGUUGACUUGCAUUUACUGAUUCACAGGCCUUGAUAUCUGUGACAGCCCGAUGCCGACGUUCCAGAAGAUUCCCCUUCUAUUCCGUUUUCGUCGUGUGUCUAUUUUCUUCUGUCACAUCAUCAUCGCAUCAUGCACAUCAUCAACUUUGCAUCAGCAUCUCCGUGCCACCAGUUUUCAAAACUUGCAUCCGUUGUUAGUUGUCGGUUCUCGUCGUUGUUCGUUCCGAGUCCGACCGCACUCGCACGCGCCCGCGGCAUCGUCGAAACCCUGUUUUUAAAAGUGUGCGUAAAACUUUCUCCGUUUGGGGUGAGAUUUGACGUGCGGUGUUAUUUUAAUAUAGCUAGACCGCCUGUCGAAUUUCGUCGCGAUCGAAGUCCGUCUGGUACCCGAACGGUCGACCGUAGCGGCGCCGUAUUCGGUCUAUCGUCGGACGUUUUUCGGUAUUUUAAAAAUAUGUUGCCGGGUGCCCGUUUUCCCUCUCAUCUUCGCCUAGCCCCUCUGCACAGUGCGUCNCAAGUAGUUGCUUAUAGGACAAUCUUCCAACAAAUUCUUGAUGUUAGGUUGGGGUUCGACAUCUAGUGGAUUCGUUUGUUCACGGUCGACUUACAGCGGUACACGUUGUGUCUUAAAGAGUCCUUGUAGCUUGCUACGACUCGGGGACGCUUUGUAUGUCGGGUGCACUGCCUUGCACUUGAUGGCUACUGUAAGGAUCGAGCCCGUGCGAUCCUGUCCAUGAAAAUAUCGGACGAAAUCUUUCUCAUGAGUUUGUUCUGGCUUGUUUCAUAAGCCUCAUCCUUUGUUUUUUUGAAUAUGGUAAUUCAAGUUGCUUCGAUGUCAACUGGUGAUUUCAGAUCUUUCAUAAGAGGUGUUCUCAUAUUUUUAUGUCAAUGCUAAUUCUUUUGCUCAAUUAGACUGUCAUGUCAAUUCUUGUCAACCGGAGUCAUCGUAUCAAUUCCAUUCAACCGGUGUGCUUCUCUGCAACUGAAUUCAAUCUUAUCUAAUUUUGCAAGAUCAUUCUCUCUUUUAUUCCGGAGUUCAUCUCAUCUAGCCCAAGUUGUCUUUGUUUUUCCCCACCCUCCCGCCCUUUUUCUCAGUGAUUCAAUUUUCAUCGAAGAGUUUUCUUUCAUGUGCUUCCGUUAUCUGUUCUUUUCUCUCUUACCCGGUGAUUCAUUGUGAAGAUUCUUAGGAGCUUCAUGUUCAUCUUUAUUCAUUCUUGUGGUCUUUUCCCGGUGAAUUUAAUUCAGCUAUCCGUGUUCAUUAUAUCCUUUUUCAUCCUUUAAAUUCUUUCCUGUGUUGGAAAUUCUUUUCAGCCCAUCUUGUUAUUCAUUCUUCUCUUUCUAUUCGGUGUGUUGAAGAUAUCUCGGAAGUUUCGUGUUUUCUAUUCUUUAAGUAUUUCGAGGUUCUCAACCUCAUGUAGUUUUCAUUUGUACCGGUGCAUUCAAUCUGUCUUUCAAUCCUUUUAACGGUGGUUUAUUUGAGUGGCCCCAUAACCCACAGGUUUUUCCCAGGAUCUUUCCUGGCUCUUUUAAUCUUUUUCCGGAGAUCAUUAAAUCUUUCAACUAUGACGUAAGUUUGAUUUUUAUCAGUCAUAUCCCUUCUUCGAGAUCUAUUGGAAUUAAUUCUCAUAUUUGGCUCAACCUUGCAUUUCUCUUAUUCCGGAGUGUUUCAGCUAUUUUUGGUGUUGUUCCUCGUCAUCAUUCUCUCCAUUGAAAAUUCGAAGGAGUGUUUUUCUCGAAUCUUGGUCUAUUCUCUUGGAGAUUCGUCAUUUCAGCUUCGUGUUGUCAUCUUGAAUUUAUUUUCAAUCAUGAGUAAUCCCUUUCUUGCGAUCCGGUGCAUUUCUGAGUUGUUUUAUUUCUCGUUCCUCCGAAGGCCAUCAUUUCAGAAGACUUCUUCGUUCUCAGCUUUCAGCUUUCGUUCUCUAAUUCUUCUCAAUUGUUGUCUCUUCGUUCGUCUCUCGAUUAUCCGGUGCCUUGUUCAAGUUUUCUCUCAGGUGGCGCAUGAUCUCUUCAUUCUCAGAUGUUUCCAUGCAUUCUUGGAAUUUCCCAUUCAGUUGUGAAUUCUUACCGGUGCUUCCUUCAAUUAUGCCUCAAGUGGUGCUUAUCUCUCUGCCUCUUCAAGAUUCAUUUCUAGAGGAAUAAGUGUUAUGCUAAAUCCGUUGCUUGUCAUCAUCUAAACUUGAUGAAGGAUAGGCAUAACAUAAUUCUUAUUCUUGUUCUUCCUUCUUCCAAGGGAUUUCAAUUCUUCUUCCGGAGUGGCUCAUGAUAUCAAUUCCUUUUCUCAAGUGCUCUUAUCUUUUCUUUUCCGGAGUUCCAAGUUCUAUCAAGUUUCUCUUCGUGAAGCUUCAUCUAAAUCUUGGCAAGGUCAUAACCUUAUUCUUUUCUACCUUCAUAUCGUUGCAUCGUUCAUUUGUAUACGGAGGUCCUUCAUGGCGGUUCAUCAUGAUAUCAAUUCAUUCUCAAAGUGUUCUUCAAGAUUCUAUUGGAGAACCUCAAGUAUCCUUUGUCUUGCAUUUCUAUGUGCAGUUGUUCUUCCUUUAUCCUUUGCGGUGGUAUUAUAGCAUUCUUGUUAGUGUAGGAGCCUCGAAGAGAUUUCCUUUCAAGAAUGAGAUAAUUAAAUCCACCAAUCCUUUGAUCAUGAGAUUAUUCUUAACCCAUGAUUUCUUCAUUGAGCUAUCUUGGUUUGGAUUUCACCUAAAGCUUUUCCUAUGGAUUUCUUCUAUCAUGGUGCUUGUCAUUAAUCCAAGUUCUCAAUGUAUCCUCUUGGUGUAAGUAAUUGUUCAUAUCUUGUUUCUCCCAAUCAACCCUUGUUUCCGUUAGUGGCUGGUUGUCACUUCAUUAGUUUGAAAGGUUUCCUUAAGCCCACUACUAUCUUGUUCUUUUUGUUGUUAUUUUUUCAACAACUCCGUGCAAUUCUUCUUGCAAGGAUGCUUGCCAAGUUCAUUUGCGAUAAUAGUUGUCAUUCUCUCUUCAUUCUCUUCUUCCGUAUGAGCUAGUUCAUAUUCUCUUGUUCCGGAGGCAUUGUGAUGUUGCUCUUUGGGUCAAUCAUGUUAUCCUAUCAAGUUCAUGGUGUUCCCUUGUUCUAUUUAGUUGUUUGUUAUGUAUAUUGUCUAAUUCUCCUACCUUUUCGAAUUUUUGUCCCAUUUUCCUACCGAAGUGCUGCUGAAUUUUUCCGUGAAUUCUUGCUUAUUUCUCUUAUCAUUCCUCAUCUCUUUGCAACCUUGAAGGAUCGUUGGUUUCACUCGUUUGUCAAAGAAGCGACUAAAUUCUUACCUCAUGUUCUUUCUCAUCCUCUCCCCCUUUCAUUCUUGGAUCUCGGGGCGAGAUCCUCUUGUAGUGUAGGAGAGUNNNNNNNNNNNNNNNNNNNNNNNNNNNNNNNNNNNNNNNNNNNNNNNNNNNNNNNNNNNNNNNNNNNNNNNNNNNNNNNNNNNNNNNNNNNNNNNNNNNNUAUGUCUGACGUAGAUAGGUGUUCAGGAUCAUUCAUUUGAUCAUCAGUAGUUCACGUCCGUUAUGCGUAGAUCUUCCCCUUCUUAUUUCUUGUACUCGUAAGUUAGCCACCAAAUAUAUGCUUAGCCGCUGCUGCAACCUCACCACUUAACCAUGCCUCACCCAUUAAGCUUUGCUAGUCUUGAUACCUUUGGAAAUGAGAUUGCUGAGUCCCCUAUGGCUCACAGAUUACUACAACACCAGUUGCAGGCACAGGUAAAGGUUACCCGACGCGAGCGCGUUGAUUGUUCAUUUAGAGUUGCUUCUUCUUCUUCUUCUUCAUCGAUCUAGGAUGGGUUCCAGGCCGACAGCCUGGGAUAGCAAGGAUGGACGUCGUUCUUCUUUUGUCGUUUGUUUUCGUCCGUAGUCGGACCCUGCUCUUUCUCUUGAUGAUUAUGUAAUGUACUGUCGUGACUCUGAUGUAGCUUGUGGCGAGUGUAAGCCAACUCUCUAUAUAUAUCUCUUCUUUUCAGUACAUGUACUUGUAACGAUAUCCAUUCUUGCGACACGACGAGAUGCGCUUCUAUCCCUGACGAGGCCCCCGUGCCAAAUUGAGGAUAUGGUCGCAUCUUGGGUAUGACAAGUUGGUAUCAGAGCCGUACCAACCUAGGAGCCCCCUUGAUUGAUCGAACUUGGCCGAGUCGAGUCUAGUGAAAAACUGCUUUGAGUCUAGUUAUAUAUCGGAGAGUAGAGUUCUUUUUUCCCCUCUUCUAUGCUCUGGUGAGGAAUCUUGACGUAAUAUUUUAAUUCUACUCGUCUUCUCACUCAAUUUUUUUUUAGGAUCACGCGGAUAUUCUUGCGAUCUAUAUGAUGCCGAUGUGACGGAGUUCUGUCUUGGUGCCUCCUAUCUGCUUUAAGUUUCAGGGGAGUUGAGCUCCAGGGUAUUCUCGAGCACAUCGUUAUCAUUCAGAUUUCUUAGUAUCUCAGAACGAAGGAUGUUCGUAAUUGCUUCAAUACUAGUAGUGGCGAGAUAACCCCGAUGUCCCUAGUACUGGUGCAGAUUGUUUGGGAGUACUGCCAUACUUUGUAUCAUUGUGAUCAUGAGGGUCUGUUGUAGAUGAAGGUCCGAGAUUCUGGUUGUGUGUUGACGGAUGUGAUACAUGUGAUGGGUUAGUAUAGGAGUUGUGUUAUUAUUACUCCUUGUAUCCGUGUACCGGAUUGCAUGACCAGAUAUUUCGGGAAUUCAUAGGUGGGAAUUCAAGUAGUUGCUUAUAGGACAAUCUUCCAACAAAUUCUUGAUGUUAGGUUGGGGUUCGACAUCUAGUGGAUUCGUUUGUUCACGGUCGACUUACAGCGGUACACGUUGUGUCUUAAAGAGUCCUUGUAGCUUGCUACGACUCGGGGACGCUUUGUAUGUCGGGUGCACUGCCUUGCACUUGAUGGCUACUGUAAGGAUCGAGCCCGUGCGAUCCUGUCCAUGAAAAUAUCGGACGAAAUCUUUCUCAUGAGUUUGUUCUGGCUUGUUUCAUAAGCCUCAUCCUUUGUUUUUUUGAAUAUGGUAAUUCAAGUUGCUUCGAUGUCAACUGGUGAUUUCAGAUCUUUCAUAAGAGGUGUUCUCAUAUUUUUAUGUCAAUGCUAAUUCUUUUGCUCAAUUAGACUGUCAUGUCAAUUCUUGUCAACCGGAGUCAUCGUAUCAAUUCCAUUCAACCGGUGUGCUUCUCUGCAACUGAAUUCAAUCUUAUCUAAUUUUGCAAGAUCAUUCUCUCUUUUAUUCCGGAGUUCAUCUCAUCUAGCCCAAGUUGUCUUUGUUUUUCCCCACCCUCCCGCCCUUUUUCUCAGUGAUUCAAUUUUCAUCGAAGAGUUUUCUUUCAUGUGCUUCCGUUAUCUGUUCUUUUCUCUCUUACCCGGUGAUUCAUUGUGAAGAUUCUUAGGAGCUUCAUGUUCAUCUUUAUUCAUUCUUGUGGUCUUUUCCCGGUGAAUUUAAUUCAGCUAUCCGUGUUCAUUAUAUCCUUUUUCAUCCUUUAAAUUCUUUCCUGUGUUGGAAAUUCUUUUCAGCCCAUCUUGUUAUUCAUUCUUCUCUUUCUAUUCGGUGUGUUGAAGAUAUCUCGGAAGUUUCGUGUUUUCUAUUCUUUAAGUAUUUCGAGGUUCUCAACCUCAUGUAGUUUUCAUUUGUACCGGUGCAUUCAAUCUGUCUUUCAAUCCUUUUAACGGUGGUUUAUUUGAGUGGCCCCAUAACCCACAGGUUUUUCCCAGGAUCUUUCCUGGCUCUUUUAAUCUUUUUCCGGAGAUCAUUAAAUCUUUCAACUAUGACGUAAGUUUGAUUUUUAUCAGUCAUAUCCCUUCUUCGAGAUCUAUUGGAAUUAAUUCUCAUAUUUGGCUCAACCUUGCAUUUCUCUUAUUCCGGAGUGUUUCAGCUAUUUUUGGUGUUGUUCCUCGUCAUCAUUCUCUCCAUUGAAAAUUCGAAGGAGUGUUUUUCUCGAAUCUUGGUCUAUUCUCUUGGAGAUUCGUCAUUUCAGCUUCGUGUUGUCAUCUUGAAUUUAUUUUCAAUCAUGAGUAAUCCCUUUCUUGCGAUCCGGUGCAUUUCUGAGUUGUUUUAUUUCUCGUUCCUCCGAAGGCCAUCAUUUCAGAAGACUUCUUCGUUCUCAGCUUUCAGCUUUCGUUCUCUAAUUCUUCUCAAUUGUUGUCUCUUCGUUCGUCUCUCGAUUAUCCGGUGCCUUGUUCAAGUUUUCUCUCAGGUGGCGCAUGAUCUCUUCAUUCUCAGAUGUUUCCAUGCAUUCUUGGAAUUUCCCAUUCAGUUGUGAAUUCUUACCGGUGCUUCCUUCAAUUAUGCCUCAAGUGGUGCUUAUCUCUCUGCCUCUUCAAGAUUCAUUUCUAGAGGAAUAAGUGUUAUGCUAAAUCCGUUGCUUGUCAUCAUCUAAACUUGAUGAAGGAUAGGCAUAACAUAAUUCUUAUUCUUGUUCUUCCUUCUUCCAAGGGAUUUCAAUUCUUCUUCCGGAGUGGCUCAUGAUAUCAAUUCCUUUUCUCAAGUGCUCUUAUCUUUUCUUUUCCGGAGUUCCAAGUUCUAUCAAGUUUCUCUUCGUGAAGCUUCAUCUAAAUCUUGGCAAGGUCAUAACCUUAUUCUUUUCUACCUUCAUAUCGUUGCAUCGUUCAUUUGUAUACGGAGGUCCUUCAUGGCGGUUCAUCAUGAUAUCAAUUCAUUCUCAAAGUGUUCUUCAAGAUUCUAUUGGAGAACCUCAAGUAUCCUUUGUCUUGCAUUUCUAUGUGCAGUUGUUCUUCCUUUAUCCUUUGCGGUGGUAUUAUAGCAUUCUUGUUAGUGUAGGAGCCUCGAAGAGAUUUCCUUUCAAGAAUGAGAUAAUUAAAUCCACCAAUCCUUUGAUCAUGAGAUUAUUCUUAACCCAUGAUUUCUUCAUUGAGCUAUCUUGGUUUGGAUUUCACCUAAAGCUUUUCCUAUGGAUUUCUUCUAUCAUGGUGCUUGUCAUUAAUCCAAGUUCUCAAUGUAUCCUCUUGGUGUAAGUAAUUGUUCAUAUCUUGUUUCUCCCAAUCAACCCUUGUUUCCGUUAGUGGCUGGUUGUCACUUCAUUAGUUUGAAAGGUUUCCUUAAGCCCACUACUAUCUUGUUCUUUUUGUUGUUAUUUUUUCAACAACUCCGUGCAAUUCUUCUUGCAAGGAUGCUUGCCAAGUUCAUUUGCGAUAAUAGUUGUCAUUCUCUCUUCAUUCUCUUCUUCCGUAUGAGCUAGUUCAUAUUCUCUUGUUCCGGAGGCAUUGUGAUGUUGCUCUUUGGGUCAAUCAUGUUAUCCUAUCAAGUUCAUGGUGUUCCCUUGUUCUAUUUAGUUGUUUGUUAUGUAUAUUGUCUAAUUCUCCUACCUUUUCGAAUUUUUGUCCCAUUUUCCUACCGAAGUGCUGCUGAAUUUUUCCGUGAAUUCUUGCUUAUUUCUCUUAUCAUUCCUCAUCUCUUUGCAACCUUGAAGGAUCGUUGGUUUCACUCGUUUGUCAAAGAAGCGACUAAAUUCUUACCUCAUGUUCUUUCUCAUCCUCUCCCCCUUUCAUUCUUGGAUCUCGGGGCGAGAUCCUCUUGUAGUGUAGGAGAGUUGUGACAGCCCGAUGCUGACGUUCCAGAAGAUUCCCCUUCUAUUCCGUUUUCGUCGUGUGCAUAUUUUCUUCUGUGGCAUCAUCAUCGCAUCAUGCACAUCAUCAACUUUGCAUCGGCAUCUCCGUGCCACCAGUUUUCAAAACUUGCAUCCGUUGUUAGUUGUCGAUUCUCGUCGUUGUUCGUUCCGAGUCCGACCGCACUCGCACGCGCCCGCGGCAUCGUCGAAACCCUGUUUUUAAAAGUGUGGGUAAAACUUUUUCAGCUUGGGGUGAGAUUUGACGUGCGGUGUUAUUUUAAUAUAGCUAGACCGCCUGUCGAAUUUCGUCGCGAUCGAAGUCCGUCUGGUACCCGAACGGUCGACCGUAGCGGCGCCGUAUUCGGUCUAUCGUCGGACGUUUUUUGGUAUUUUAAAAAUAUGUUGCGGGGUGCCCGUUUUCCCUCUCAUCUUCGCCUAGCCCCUCUGCACAGUGCGUCGACCCUACUCGCGGCCAGUCCGAAAACCUCCCGGAACCCGAACCCGGGGUUGUGACCGUUGGAUCCGGAUCAACCCCGUUAUACCGCAAACCGUCAUUGGUUUGUCCAUUGCACUCCCGAUCCUAAUUAUCUCGACCAUCCGAUAUAAAUCGGAGGGUCCAGAUGCCCCUAUACCUAACCCACUAGCUAUAUAUAGAAUGCCCUUGCUCAUUUAGACCAGAACCCUAGAAAUUCUCCCCCCUGUCCCAUCAGCGUCGCCGCCGCACACCACCUGGUCUCCUACCUCGUUUUCCUCCACCUACCGAUCACGCACCAGAUCCAUGCCGAGCCAAACCUGAGCCAAUCCCCUCUUCCCUCCUUGAUCGGUUCCCAGCCAGCCCCGCACCUCGCCUCAGCCUGCUCCUCUUGCAUGCGUUGCUCCCGCUUCCCUCCCGAGCAACCCGAGGAACCGGAGCCGCGGCCUCCCGGCUGUGUUCGAGCCGCAGCGACAAGGUGACCGAGCCUAGCUGCAGGAGCAGCCGAGCCGCCCCAUGGGGCCUCGAUCCAAUAGCUGCAGCACCUACCUCGGCCAGGAGCACCCCCAUGCCCGGAGCUGAUUCUUACCCGCGUCCCGCACCAAGUAGCAGCAGCAACCCCGGUCGCCCUAAGAACCUGCAGGCCAGAGCCCUCUCCUCCUCUCUCGUCUAGUCUCUUUUCCUCUCCUCAAGAUCUUUUCCUCUUUCUGUGUAUAGUGCAGCAGCAGGAGAAAGCCAUGGCGCCCACUCUCGUGUCUGUCGGAGCUGUGCCCGAUGCCUACAGCCUCGGGAACGGGACCCCCUCGUCCGGUUAUGCCCGGCCCGCUGGCGAAGAUCCCCGCCGAAGCCGCCCCUGCAGUCUCUGAUGAGCUGAGCCGCCACAGCCUGCAUCCCGUCCUGGCAACAGAGAUAUCUCUGUUUCGUGAUUCAGUUUCGUCAGACUCGCCCCACGGUAUGGUUCAUCUGGCACAAACCCUGCAAUAUAUCACUCGAACAUGCAUAGGUCAACUGGCUUGUGACAACCGGUUCCAUCCCAGAGAUUUGGGGUUCGAAUCCCAGUAGCGCCAUAUUUAUUUUGCC
rnacentral:lncRNA from 1 species